rnacentral:tRNA from 1 species
GCCUCCGUGCUGGAACCGGCAUACAGGACGUGCUCAAACCACGUUGCCCAUAGUGGCUUGUGGGUUCGAAUCCCACCGGAGGCACCA